CUGAGCUUAUGGAUGAUCAUGCCUGGGAGAGUGUUAGAGUCAAUUUCUCAUCACACAUGGCAGUUUGGCUACCCACGUGGAUGUUUCAGCAUCCAUGAUGGUGCAGAACUAGAAAAAUUACUCACCUGUGAUUUCUGUGGCCUUCUUCCAGCAGAGAUUUACAGCAUCUGAUGGUGAGGCAUAUUUUACCUAUUCCUAAUGGAUAUAAACAGCCCAAACUUGUGUCAUUAUAUGUUCUUUUGGAUGCAUCAGCCUCAGAUAUAUCUUGGCUGUCUCUAAAAUUUGAAGUUUCACUGCUUUUUAAAGUCUACAGUGUAAAAAAACCCAGUUUUACAGUGAUUUAUUUAUGGCUCUUGCCUGGAUUCACAUGGGUAAGUCUCUGCAUAUUGUUGAUGUCUAUCGGUGUCUGUUCAAUAGGGCAAAAAAAUGUGUGUCUCAGAAGUUAGGAAAAAUGGAGAAAUUUCUUUACAGUUAGGGGUUCAAAAUUAUUUUUUUAUGCCCAUGUGAAAAAGUUUUACAAAAAUCCUGUAACCAGUGUAUUUUCUGCCUUUUUAUUUCUUACAUGCAAUACACUGAUGUAGGUAAGAAAAGAAAUACUCCUGUUUUCUUCUUGAUUCUCUUUGGCUCCCUCUCUCCCUUUCCAGGGGAGCAGAAGAGAUUGAUGAGGAAACCAGGACAUCUUCUGACACAGCAUAGACAGCAAGGACACAAAAAUGCUUCAAAUGCUGUGCUGCAGAGAAGGUGUUGCUGUCUGUGUGACAGGCAGAUUUCAGCUCAGAAAGCUAUAAGCUGGAGCUUAAUGGCCAGCUGCCUCCUUAAGCAGGUACUACAUGGUCUGGAAGCCAAGGCACCAACCCAGGAGGAAAGACUGUCUCCCAGGAAGAGGAGAUCCUGUCACUGCCACUGCUGUGAGAAACACCAAGGGGACCAAAGCUGCCCUGGCAGCAUCUGGUUUGCUCAAAUGAGAGAGGAAGGGAAGGAGGCGCACCCAUGUGUCCUCCUCUUUAGCCUUUUCAAGGUGAGUGGCUUUGAGAUGCUCUCUUAGCUAG
rnacentral:lncRNA from 1 species